rnacentral:rRNA from 1 species
AACGCACCUUGCGCCCUUUGGUAUUCCGAAGGGCAUGCCUGUUUGAGUGUCAUUAAAUUAUCAACCCCGAAGGGAUUUUUGUCCCUCUCGGUGGCUUGGACUUGGGGGUUCCUUUGCUGGCCUUCACUGGUCGGCUCCCCUUGAAUGCAUUAGUGGGAUCUCUUGUGGACCGUCACUUGGUGUGAUAAUUAUCUAUGCCGUUUGACUUUAAAGCAAAUUUAUGGGAACCUGCUUAUAACCGUCCUCUACCGGACAACAAUCUUAAUUGACAUUUUGACCUCAAAUCAGGUAGGACUACCCGCUGAACUUAA